AACAGAGAGCUGAAAUGAGUACGUGCACUCAGAGUGCCGGCCAGUCCCAACCAUCUCAACAAACAGUCACCAUUCAAGCACUACCCGAUCCACGCCUGCGACGUCUUCUUGUCAGUAGUAUUUUUGUCGCAGUAACGUUCGGACAGACAAUUUAACUGCAUUGUAAUCAACUUGUUUGCUGCAUUUGCACGUCAGUAGUCUUCACCUUAACCUAGGACAACAACACACUCAGCCACUGUGACCGCGGAGCGCGUGAGAGCAUAAAACUCGUACUCCUCUACUACAACAAAAACAACAGCACAAACUUCAAUCGCACUCAAUACUAGCUUUUGAAAGCGCAACCACUGUAAAACAAUAUGGGAAAUCCACUUUGGUUUAUCUUUUGGUUUUUGGUCUU